UACAUAUAUACCUACUUUUAAAAUAUUAAUUGCUUAUAAAAUUUAUACCAAUUUGCUGAAGCCUUGUGUUUGGUAUAUUUUGGAGAUGGGAACAAUGUAAUUGUCAGGGUUUUGUAGACUUUCACUAAAUAGAAGUGUAAAAGGCUAUGGAAUCGACUGAAAAGGAUAAAUAUCUAUCAAAUGUAUUGAAUCAACCUCACAUUGUGUGUGUUUGUGUGUGUAUGUGUGCACACUGAGGAUCAACCCCAGGACCUCCUGUACCUGCUUGGCAAGCACUCUACCACUAAGAUCCAUCCCCAGCCCUCACAUUUCUUGGGCUAUGCUCAAGGUCUGGCUGGGAUAAAGGUUUUGAUUUAUGCUGAAAACCAUUUGUUUGGUUUUUCCACGUUCUGUAAACAGGUUCUUUUCUUUUCAAUUUGUUUUAUUUCUGGUGUUGAAGAUGGUACCCUGGGCCUAGGCAUCCUAGGCAAGUGCUCUGCCACUAAGCUACACCUCCAGCACCUUCUUCUGCAUUCCACUUUUUGGACAAUGGAACACUUCAGGAACAUGCAACUUCUGAGUGAAGGCACCAAUAUGCAUUCACUUCCAGGCUGUUUCUUCAUGCUCUACCUUAAACUCUUCCUUUCCUCCCCUUUCAAGAAAGCAGACCAUUUGGCUAACGAUGUACUUCAUGGUAGAGCAUUUGCUUAACAUGCCCAAGGCCCUGGGUUCAAUCUCCAGAACUGUCAAAAAACAAAACAAACAAACAGCAGACCAGACAGUAAAUGGUAUAUUGGUCAGGACAGGUCAUGCUGUGCUUCACAGUUCUUAAAUUGUAUUUCUUGCUCUUGCUAGAACAGAAGAGCUGUGUGAACCUUAGUCACUUAGGGAUUUGGGCUGAUGAGCAGCCACCACUUUGAACAUUUCUGGAGGAAAAGAAAAUUUGGGAGCAGUCAUAGCGAAGAUUUUAGACCUCUCAAUGACAACAAACAGCCUGCUGAAGCUCGUGUGCCAGAGUUUCUCUACCACUGUUCUGUGGCACUGACCCAGACAUUUCACCUACAAUUCGUGGGCUGGAACUAGGUUCAAGAGCCCACCUAACCACUGGAGGGUCUGAAAGAGAGAACUGGAAGUAUUUGACAAAGAAAACUAAUGAUUAUUAUGAUUGUUUGAGAAUGUGUUGAAAAAGCAGUUUGUGCCAGAGUAGAGGUGACCUAAGCAGAAACAGAAACAAUGUGAACAAGGCAGGAUCACAGUGCUGGCCACCCUGACUCAUCAUGCUUCUCCCUACAGCUGUUUCCAAUUCCAUUCCAGUCUAUAAACGUUUCCUAAAGGCAUUACAAUGGAAGGUGGGGCAAAAACAAAACUAUAGGUAUCGUUUAUCUUUUCUUUUUCUUUUUUGAGGUGGUGGUGGUGGUAGUGGGUUGUUGGUUUUUUGAGACAAGAUCUCACUAUGUAGUCAUGCUGGCCUUGAGCUCUCUGUGUUGCUUAGACUGGGCUUGAACUUGUGAUCCUCCUGCCUCAACCUCCUGAGUGCUGGGAUUACAGGCAUGUGCUACUAUUCACAUCUCACUUUUCUUUUGAAUGUUCACUCAGACUACUUUAGGGUCACCUUGAGAAAAACCAACAAAGUUUCAACAGUGGCCCUAAAUCAAACCUAAGUAUGUAUAUAUGAGCAUUUAGACUAUAAAGGUAUGUAGAAAGGCACUGAGUUAAUUGGUAUUUUUUUUAAAAGAUCCUCUCAUCAUAUCAUUUUCUAACAUGUAUAAAUUUACUAACAUAUACAUAAUACAGAUACAUUUGGCAUAUUACACCAAAGGCAAAACCAACAAAAGCAAAAAUAGGUAAAUUGGACUUCAUUAAAAUAAAAAGCUUUUAUGCUUCUAAGAAAACCAUCAAGAAAGUAAAAAGAC
ensembl:lncRNA